rnacentral:snRNA from 1 species
GUACUUGCUUCAGUAGCACAUAUACUAAAAUUGGAGAAGAUUAGCAUGGCCCCUGCACAAGGAUGACACACAAAUUUGUGAAGCAUUCCAUGUUUUU